rnacentral:rRNA from 1 species
GGAUUCCCCUAGUAACUGCGAGUGAAGCGGGAAAAGCUCAAAUUUAAAAUCUGGCGGUCCUUGGCCGUCCGAGUUGUAAUUUAGAGAAGCGUCUUCCGCGCUGGACCGUGCACAAGUCUCCUGGAAUGGAGCGUCAUAGAGGGUGAGAAUCCCGUCUUUGGCACGGAUGCCUGGUGCUUCUGUGAUGCGCUCUCGAAGAGUCGAGUUGUUUGGGAAUGCAGCUCAAAAUGGGUGGUGAACUCCAUCUAAAGCUAAAUAUUGGCGAGAGACCGAUAGCGAACAAGUACCGUGAGGGAAAGAUGAAAAGCACUUUGGAAAGAGAGUGAAACAGUACGUGAAAUUGUUGAAAGGGAAACGCUUGAAGUCAGUCGCGUCGACCGAGACUCAGCCUUGCCUUGGCUUGGUGUACUUCUCGGGCUGACGGGUCAGCAUCAAUUUUGCACCUCGGAUAAUGGCAAGGGAAAGGUGGCACCUUUACGGGUGUGUUAUAGUCUCCUGUCGCAUGCGAGGGGUGGGAUUGAGGAACUCAGCRCGCACCUCAGUGUCGGGGCUUCGGCCCACGUCACGUGCUUAGGAUGCUGGCGUAAUGGCUUUAAACGACCCGUCUUGAAACACGGACCAAGGAGUCCAACACGCCCGCGAGUGUUCGGGUGGAAAACCCGUGCGCGUAAUGAAAGUGAAAGUUGGGACCUCUGUCGUGGAGGGCACCGACGCCCGGACCAGACCUUCUGUGACGGAUCUGCGGUAGAGCGUGUGUGUUGGGACCCGAAAGAUGGUGAACUAUGCCUGAAUAGGGUGAAGCCAGAGGAAACUCUGGUGGAGGCUCGUAGCGAUUCUGACGUGCAAAUCGAUCGUCAAAUUUGGGUAUAGGGGCGAAAGACUAAUCGAA